rnacentral:rRNA from 1 species
CCAAUAGCGUAUAUUAAAGUUGUUGCAGUUAAAAAGCUCGUAGUUGAAUUUCGGGAUCAAUAUGUUGGUCGUGCCUUGGUACGUACUGGCGUCAUUGGUUUCUACCUUCUGAAGAACCUCGAUGUCAUUAAUUUGGUGUCUUGGGGAAUCAGGACUGUUACUUUGAAAAAAUUAGAGUGUUUAAAGCAGGCUCACGCUUGAAUACAUUAGCAUGGAAUAAUGAAAUAGGACGUUUGAUUCUAUUUUGUUGGUUUCUAGGAUCGACGUAAUGAUUAAUAGGGAUAGUUGGGGGCAUUAGUAUUCAAUUGUCAGAGGUGAAAUUCUUGGAUUUAUUGAAGACUAACUACUGCGAAAGCAUUUGCCAAGGAUGUUUUCAUUAAUCAAGAACGAAAGUUAGGGGAUCGAAGACGAUCAGAUACCGUCGUAGUCUUAACCAUAAACUAUGCCGACUAGGGAUCGGAUGAUGUUAAUUUUUUAAUGACUCAUUCGGCGCCUUACG